rnacentral:tRNA from 1 species
GGGAUUUGGCUUGGUGGUAGAGCACUUGCCUAGCAUGUGUGAGGCCCUGGGUUCAAUCCCCAGUGCCA